CGGCUCUAGGCACACAACUAUAUUUUUUGGGUACAAGUACCCCCAGGACUUGAUAGAAGGAAACUGACAAAACAUGACAUCUUGAAUUCACGACUAACAUCAACAUCAUAGCAUGUAUUCAAGUAUACAUAAUUGAGGACUUCAUACUAACAUAUAACAAUCCAUUCAACAAGGGAUGCACAAGGAUAAGAACGCACACAACAUACUAUAAUUCAUUCACUAUGGUCUGUCAACAAACACUUGACGUGCAUGGCCUAUACUAAAUUUAGGGGUUUCUAGGCAAUAUGCUAUAAUAACCUAAUUUCCUUCACACAAGCAUUUUAUCAAACACAUGGGGAGCAUGCUUUGGUCAUAUAACAAUUUCCACACCUAAUUCUCAUGGAUAAUCAAUCAACAUACAACUUGAAGGGAUUUAUCAUGAACAUCACAUAAUUAUUACAAAAUAGGGUCAAAGUUUGCAACUUUAUAAUCAUAUCAUGAAUUAAAACUCAACAACAACGUAACCUUCAAACUCUAUUCACAUAGACCAUGGAAAACACAUAAAUUUAAAAUCUUGAAUUUAGAAAAAGGGAUUCUUGAACUUCUUGGGCAGAAGGGACCCAAGAAUCAACACUUGCAUACCUGGAUAUUAAAUUCUUGAAAGAUUUACGGAGGAACCUUGAUGGUUGGGUCUUGAAUUAUGAACCCAAAUAGUUGUUCUUGAAGAAAAUUGAGAGAAACUAACAAUAUCUGGGUGAAAUUAUGAGGAAUCUUGUGUUAAAGGGUAUAUAUAGGGGUCGGAAGGUUAUAAUUUUGCCCUUGGAAACACGGAGCUAAAUACAGGAUUUUGGCCCAAGGCUAUAGGCAGGGCGACGCCUUGGCUAGAGCACUGCGAUAACCAGGGAGGCACCUUGCUAUAGCGGUGCUAUGACCAGGGCGACGCCUUGGUAUUUGCAGUGCUGAAAGCUGGGCGACGCCUUGAGAUUACCCUGAGCUACUAUUUUUGAAAUCCAAACGUGCCCUUAUGCUAUUCAAAAAAUUCCAAAACUUAUUCGAGAUGUACUACGACCUUGCGCCAUCACAACGCAACCUGAAAAUCUAAAAACGGAGGUCAGGAAGGUUAUGAAAUAAUUCAUCGAAGUUAGCAAGCUUAUGGAAUGAAGAAAGUUUCAACACUUAGCCAAAUUUUUAAGUGCUAAGUUUCUCUUGAAAAGCUUAAAGGGGCCUUAACGACUCAAAAAAUUUAUGGGGUAUUACAAUAGGGUAUAAACCCAUACUUCAAUUUCAUAAGAAAACAUAGAAAAUCAUAUGUUCUCGUAAUUAAAACAACUUUUGGGCACAAGGAAGAAAGAAGUGUCCUUAUUCAAACCCCGCAUACCUUAGAUUAUGACUUGGAUGAACAAAUUUAUUUGAGACUUUUCUUAUUACUCUUGAGAGAGGGUUCUUAAAGCCUUUGACUUGGGAACCUUGAAUCUUAACUCAAUUUGUAAAAUCUAUGGAGGAUUCUUGAGUUUCUUGGAAGAAGAUUUAGAUUUGUUCUUAAGGGAGAAACCCUAGCUUUGGAGAUGUUUUGGGUGAAUAAUGAAGUUAGAUGAUUCGAUCUGGGUAUAUCAAGGUAUAGAAAGGGUGGAAAAAGACCAAAACGUCCUUUUUAAAAUGACUUAAAAUUAUUGAUCGGGAUAUGCGACGGUGGGGUGAGACGGUCCGUCGGUCCUGACCGUCGCACCUGGGCCAGAACUUGGUUCACUACCUCGCCUGCGACGAUGGGUGCAACGGUCCAUCGAGGACCCGACAGUCCAUCGGCCCUUAUCGUCGCACUAAACCAGAAUGGGGCCUCGCAAGCUUGACGGUCCGUCGGCCCUCUCCGUCGCACCUGGCGAUUUCACUGCUUUCUCUUUCGAUGUCGGAUUUUGACGAAAUAGAUAUCGUUGGAAAGAUAAUUCAAUUUUCCACACUAUAGAAAGCCAUUUUUAGAAAAAUUCAACAAGGUUUAAACACCAAUUACUUUGGAAGUCACUCUGUAAUCUUUUAAGACCGAAAUUACGCUUCACUUGAUAUGCUCUAAAGGCUCAGACUACGAGGGAACUUUGUGGGGUCUUACAUGCUGCUUCUAGCUAUGGAGUUCAGCCUCAUAUGCAAUACCAAAAUCCACAAAUGCAGGGUGGGGCAAGACCACAAGGUGAUGGUGCACCAUACAUAGGUAUGGAGGUCACUAGAAAGACUUAAGUUGUGAUUUUGUUUUCAUUCCCCUCAUGUUGGUUUCUAUUGCUUAUAUAGUUCAUAUGGAAUUUCUUACUAUGAUCUAGAUUGGUUCAUGGGAUUAAUAAUUGAUUAGUUUGUAUUCAUUGCAUGCAUCUACAUUAAGGGAUUAUCAUAAUCCAACUUAAGGUGCUUGCUUGACUUACAUAAGCUAGUAGGUGGAUCACUUACUUGAGCUAUUUGGACCAAGUUAAUGGACCCAAGGUUAUGGACCGGAUUUGAUCCUAUGUUAAGGUACUCAUUUAGGCCUAACUUAAGUAAAAGAAAAGGAAAUGAAAAAAGACCCAACACUCAAAUCUACAAAGGCUCAUUUUAGUUUAGCCCAACUAUGAAUUAAAUAAGUAUGUACAUAACCUACUAAGACUUCCUUUUACCAACUUAUUGGGCCAAAUACACUACCACAUACUUGAAUUAACUUUGACCCAAGUUAAAGGAAAGAAAAGAAGGAGAAUGGGCAACAAAGGCCCAAUAGUUUUGGAUCCACAAAAGCCCAAUAUAUUGGGCAAGUAUAUAUAUCAUUUACUUGAAAAAAUAUAGACCAAAAAUAGUCAAUAAGUCGUCCAAGAGCAGCUUCUAUAUAUGGAUUGAAAAUCAGCAAUUUUUUUGUCAUUUCAACUUAGACAAAAAUUUCAGCUUUCUAGGUUUUUCUCUCUUGUUCUCUCUUGGCUAUGAAGUAACCCUAUCGUUCCACAAGGGUUCUUGGGAUUGACUUUCCUUCCAAGCUAAAGCAAUUAAGCUAUUGAAGAAAUACACAUUAAGGACUAAACUACCAAGAAAAUCAAGAUAAGUAAUCUAAAAGGGCGGAGAGUCGAGUUGGUAUGGUAUUGGAGUUUUACAACCAGGUAUGUAAGGCAUACUCUAUUUUGCACUCUUGGCAUGAAAACGGACACUUGUUCCUACGAGCAAGCUCCCAAGAUUAUCUUAUAACACGUGAUACAUAAUAGCACUGUAUGAUAGUCCAUGUUACUAAUGAACUUUUUCCCACUCUCUAAUGAGUUAAAACACCCCAAUACACACUUGCUACCAAUCCUACAUGUCUAUUUUCACUAGUAAAUUUUAGAAUUUCUCCAGUUACUCAAAUAAGACCCAUGUGUUAUUUUUAGCUCCUAAACACUUCAUUAGCGUGCAAACAACUCCUUACUUCAUUGUUACUGCAUUGAUUGCCUAUUUAAAUGUCUCUUAUUGAUAGAUCAUUGUUUCAAGGUACCAUAAUGUUAUGACCACUGAAGUAACAAUCUCAAAGGCUAAUUAAACUAAGUAACGAAAAUUUGUAAAACGGGUGGCAGCUCAGGGGCAUAAGCCUAGCAUGGGCUGAUCCUGAUACUUUAUAUGUGGGUGGCAGCUCAGGGGCGUAAGCCUAGCAUGGACCGAUCCCAAUGUUUAUUUAUAGGUGGCAGCUCAGGGGCAUAAGCCUAGCAUAGACCGAUCCUGAUUUGUUAUUUACCACUGAUCAACUGGUCAUUUGUAUCAUAUGGAUUACAAAGAUAAUGAAGUAAAAAGGUAAAAGAAGGAAAGAAAUGUAAUGUACCCAGUUCCACAAGUAAAUGUAAAGGUGGUCUCUAGCACUAUUUUUACACUUGCUCCAGAUUUUUAUUGAACCUUUGUAUCUUGUAUUGUUACUUUUUUGCCUUGCAUACUCAGUACAUAUUUUCGUACUGACUCCCCUUAUGGGGGACCUCUAUUUCAUGCUACAAGCACAGGUGCUUUGGCAAACACGUCUCCUCAGUAGGAGCUCAGGAUAUCCAGCUGCUAUUGGUGAGCUCCAAUUUGAUUCGGGGCUUUCCAAGUUGGUUCCAUAUAUUUUUGGUAUUGUAUAAAAGUUAAUAGUAUGACGGGGUUUGUCCCGACCUUAGCUAAGUUCUAUGUAUCAUCUUCAAGUUUCCCAUGGUUGAAAUUGACAAGAAAUGAUUGUCCACCUCCGUUUGGAGACCUUGAGCUAAAAGGUCCAGCCGUGGACUUUAUGAAAGAGCAAGGUAUGUUUGCUCAUCAUGGUAAUUAGUGUCUCAAAGUUAGUUUAUGUUUAUUUAUUUAUCAAUACGCUCCAAUCUUUCACAUUUUCUUUUAAUCA